UGGUAUGCAUGCGUGUUCUCUGCGCAGAUGCAGCGUGGUAUGUGUGGUGUGCGUGGUGUGCAUGGUGUCAGUGGUGUGAUGUGCAGCGUGGCGUCUGUACUGUGGAGAAGUAGCGCUCCAGUUCCCUGAGGACUCUCCGGCACUGCAGCAGGUUCGGGACGACUUGUGGCUGCGCCCUGGGGAAGAAACAGCUCCUGUCAGUAGCUGACUGCUGAAGACGGAACUUCGGUGUGGCUUCUUCGUGUUGCGGGUUUCUCCCGGGCGUUUUUUCCUUCAUGGCACCGUGUGGCAGGUGUGGCGUCCACAGUGAGGAGAAAGUGAAGCACUCCAGGUCCCUCAGGACUUGCUGGACGGGACACUGCGGCAGCUUUGGGAUGACUUGGGACUGCGCCCUUGGGAAGAGACAGCUCCUAUCCACUGUGCUGACUGCUGAGGAGGGAGCUUCCUUGCAGUUUCGCCUCAGCGCAGCUCCUCAGCUGUUUUUUCUUCAUUGUUCAUCUGUAUGGCUCCAAAUGAAAAUGACAUUUUCUUCUCAAGGAGUGCAUUGCAUUGUGCAGAUAUACUGCAGUUUCUUUAUCCCUUCAUCUGUGGAUGGCCAGGUUUCUUCACCUUGCUGGAAGUGACCUGAUGUCCAGAAGUUUGAUGGCUGAAGAGUAUUCUCUUGUGCAUAUAUCCUUCAGUUUCUGCAUGUCUUCAUCUGUGGAUGGACAGGUAGGUUGACUCCGUACCUUGAUUAUUGUCUCUAGUGCCUCAUGAAACAUGGGAAGGCAGGUAUCUCCUUAAGGUAUGAAUUUCUUCUGCUUUACAGGUAUACCCAGUGUUGGGAUGGCUAGAUGAAGAACUGGUAGUUGUACUGCUGAUUCUUUCAGAAACCUCCAGAUGUUUUUCCUAGUGUUUAUGGGAGUUUACAUUACCACCAAUAGGAGAUAAGAGUUCCUGUGUCUGCAAGUCUACAUACACUAGCCCUUGCCUUCAGAAAAAUUUAUUGCUCUUUCUGGUCAUACUCAUCCUCCAGGGAAGUUGGACAGUAUGUGAGUGUGGGUGGUUGGGAUUUACAUUUGGGGGAUGAUUGCUGAUGUGAAGAAAUUUUUCUGUUACCCAAGAGUCAACGUAAGGUCUUCUUUUAAGAAAUGUCCACGCAGGU
rnacentral:lncRNA from 10 species